UUAGUCCAGCCCAGGCGAUGGUUGUCAUGGGGUAAGCAUGUAGGGCGGAACGUAGGUAAAUCCGCGUUCUAAUCAACCUGAGAUGUGAUGCCGAGCCGAUUGUGGUGAAGUGGAUGAUCCUAUGCUGCCGAGAAAAGCCUCUAGUGAGUGUUGUGGCGGCCCGUACCCUAAACCGACUCAGGUGGUCAGGUAGAGAAUACCAAGGCGAUCGGGUGAACUGUGGUUAAGGAACUCGGCAAAUUGCCCCCGUAACUUCGGGAGAAGGGGGACCUCUGCUGGUGAUGGGCUUUACGUUCUGAGCUGGUGGGGGUCGCAGUGGCCAGGGGGAAGCGACUGUUUACUAAAAACACAGGUCCGUGCGAAGUCGUAAGACGAUGUAUACGGACUGACGCCUGCCCGGUGCCGGAACGUUAAGGGGACCGCUUAGCCAACGCGAGUUGGCGAAGGUGAGAACUUAAGCGCCGGUAAACGGCGGUGGUAACUAUAACCAUCCUAAGGUAGCGAAAUUCCUUGUCGGGUAAGUUCCGACCUGCACGAAUGGCGUAACGACUUCCCCGCUGUCUCAACCACAGACCCGGCGAAAUUGCACUACGAGUAAAGAUGCUCGUUUCGCGCAGCAGGACGGAAAGACCCCGGGACCUUCACUACAGCUUGACAUUGGCGUUUGGAACGUCUUGUGUAGGAUAGGUGGGAGACUGGGAAGCUGUCACGCUAGUGAUGGUGGAGUCAUUGGUGAAAUACCACUCUGGUCGUUUUGAACGUCUAACUCUGGUCCGUGAUCCGGAUCGGGGACAGUGUCUGGUGGGUAGUUUAACUGGGGCGGUUGCCUCCUAAAGAGUAACGGAGGCGCCCAAAGGUUCCCUCAGCGUGGUUGGCAAUCAGGUGUUGAGUGUAAGUGCACAAGGGAGCUUGACUGUGAGACUGACAGGUCGAGCAGGAGCGAAAGCUGGGACUAGUGAUCCGGCAUCGGAGUGUGGAAGCGGUGUCGCUCAACGGCUAAAAAGCUACCCCGGGGAUAACAGGCUGAUCUUCCCCAAGAGUCCAUAUCGACGGGAUGGUUUGGCACCUCGAUGUCGGCUCGUCGCAUCCUGGGGCUGGAGUAGUCCCAAGGGUUGGGCUGUUCGCCCAUUAAAGCGGUACGCGAGCUGGGUUUAGAACGUCGCGAGACAGUUCGGUCCCUAUCCGCUGCGCGCGCAGGAGACUUGAAGGGGGCUGUCCCUAGUACGAGAGGACCGGGACGGACGAACCUCUGGUGUGCCAGUUGUACCGCCAGGUGCACGGCUGGUUGGCUACGUUCGGAAGGGAUAACCGCUGAAAGCGUCUAAGCGGGAAGCUCGCCUUGAGAUGAGGUCUCCCACCCCGUGAGGGGGUAAGGCUCCCGGUAGAUCACCGGGUUGAUAGGCCGGAGGUGGAAGCACGGUAACGUGUGGAGCUGACCGGUACUAAUAGGCCGAGGACUUGACCG
rnacentral:rRNA from 1 species